CGGAGGGUCAUUAAAGAGUUCUAUAACUCCCAAACCCAUGUGAACAUACCUAACGUUGCCUCGGCAGGUCGCACCUACCUUGUAGCACCCUACCCUGUAGGGCCUACCCGGGAGGUGCGGGUAAGCCUGCCGGCGGCCCACCAAACUCUGUUUGAUAUUGAAUUCUGAACCUAUAACUAAAUAAGUUAAAACUUUCAACAACGGAUCUCUUGGUUCUGGCAUCGAUGAAGAACGCAGCGAAAUGCGAUAAGUAAUGUGAAUUGCAGAAUUCAGUGAAUCAUCGAAUCUUUGAACGCAUAUUGCGCCCAUUAGUAUUCUAGUGGGCAGGACCGUUCGAGCGUCAUUUCAACCCUUAAGCCUUCGUUGCUUAGUGUUGGGAGCCUACGGCAACGUAGCUCCUCAAAGUUAGUGGCGGAGUUGGUUCACACUCUAGACGUAGUAAUUUUUUAUCUCGCCUAUUAGCUGGACUAAUCCCCUGCCGUAAAACCCCUAAUUUAUCAAGGUUGACCUCGAAUCGGUUCAGACAAACUCGCUAAAUUGAAGCAUCUUAGUCAGCGAAGGAAAAGAAACCAACAGGGAUUGCCCUAGUAACGGCGAGUGAAGCGGCAACAGCUCAAAUUUGAAAUCUGGCCCUCGGGUCCGAGUUGUAA
rnacentral:rRNA from 1 species